GACGAACGCUGGCGGCGUGCUUAACACAUGCAAGUCGAACGGAAAGGCCCUGCUUUUGUGGGGUGCUCGAGUGGCGAACGGGUGAGUAACACGUGAGUAACCUGCCCUUGACUUUGGGAUAACUUCAGGAAACUGGGGCUAAUACCGGAUAGGAGCUCCUGCUGCAUGGUGGGGGUUGGAAAGUUUCGGCGGUUGGGGAUGGACUCGCGGCUUAUCAGCUUGUUGGUGGGGUAGUGGCUUACCAAGGCUUUGACGGGUAGCCGGCCUGAGAGGGUGACCGGCCACAUUGGGACUGAGAUACGGCCCAGACUCCUACGGGAGGCAGCAGUGGGGAAUAUUGCACAAUGGGCGGAAGCCUGAUGCAGCAACGCCGCGUGCGGGAUGACGGCCUUCGGGUUGUAAACCGCUUUCGCCUGUGACGAAGCGUGAGUGACGGUAAUGGGUAAAGAGGCACCGGCUAACUACGUGCCAGCAGCCGCGGUGAUACGUAGGGUGCGAGCGUUGUCCGGAUUUAUUGGGCGUAAAGGGCUCGUAGGUGGUUGAUCGCGUCGGAAGUGUAAUCUUGGGGCUUAACCCUGAGCGUGCUUUCGAUACGGGUUGACUUGAGGAAGGUAGGGGAGAAUGGAAUUCCUGGUGGAGCGGUGGAAUGCGCAGAUAUCAGGAGGAACACCAGUGGCGAAGGCGGUUCUCUGGGCCUUUCCUGACGCUGAGGUGCGAAAGCGUGGGGAGCGAACAGGCUUAGAUACCCUGGUAGUCCACGCUGUAAACGGUGGGUACUAGGUGUGGGGUCCAUUCCACGGGUUCCGUGCCGUAGCUAACGCUUUAAGUACCCCGCCUGGGGAGUACGGCCGCAAGGCUAAAACUCAAAGGAAUUGACGGGGCCCCGCACAAGCGGCGGAGCAUGCGGAUUAAUUCGAUGCAACGCGUAGAACCUUACCUGGGUUUGACAUGGAUCGGGAGUGCUCAGAGAUGGGUGUGCCUCUUUUGGGGUCGGUUCACAGGUGGUGCAUGGCUGUCGUCAGCUCGUGUCGUGAGAUGUUGGGUUAAGUCCCGCAACGAGCGCAACCCUUGUUCACUGUUGCCAGCACGUUAUGGUGGGGACUCAGUGGAGACCGCCGGGGUCAACUCGGAGGAAGGUGGGGAUGACGUCAAGUCAUCAUGCCCCUUAUGUCCAGGGCUUCACGCAUGCUACAAUGGCUGGUACAGAGAGUGGCGAGCCUGUGAGGGUGAGCGAAUCUCGGAAAGCCGGUCUCAGUUCGGAUUGGGGUCUGCAACUCGACCUCAUGAAGUCGGAGUCGCUAGUAAUCGCAGAUCAGCAACGCUGCGGUGAAUACGUUCCCGGG
rnacentral:rRNA from 1 species